rnacentral:misc_RNA from 1 species
AAAGUCGUAACAAGGUUUCCGUAGGUGAACCUGCGGAAGGAUCAUUAACAAAUCUCAAAACAGUUUUGCCCAUGAUGGGUCUGUGGACGCGAAAGUAUCCAUAGCCAGUCAUGGGUAUCACACAAACACAUAUUGAUUGACACAUUUCAGAAGACCAAGAACUUAAAUGUUAACAACUUUUAACAAUGGAUCUCUUGGCUCUU